rnacentral:rRNA from 1 species
UACGGAGGGUGCAAGCGUUGUCCGGAUUUAUUGGGUUUAAAGGGUGCGUAGGCGGCCCGUUAGGUCAGUGGUGAAAGCCUCCAGCUCAACUGGAGAACUGCCAUUGAUACUGACGGGCUUGAGUACAGACGAGGUUGGCGGAAUUGAUUGUGUAGCGGUGAAAUGCAUAGAUACAAUCAAGAACUCCGAUUGCGUAGGCAGCUAACUAGGCUGUAACUGACGCUGAGGCACGAAAGCGUGGGGAGCGAACAGG